CCUACGGGUGGCAGCAGUGAGGAAUAUUGGGCAAUGGACGAGAGUCUGAACCAGCGAAGCAGCGUGAAGGAUGACUGCUUUAGGGGUUGUAAACUUCGUCUAUAUGGGAAUAAAAUGUUCGACGUGAGGGAGGAUGCAUGUACCAUAUGAGUAAGGACCGGCGAAAUCCGAGCCAGGAGCCGCGGUAAUACGGAGAAUCCGAGCGUUAUCCGGAUUUAUUGGGUUUAAAGGGAGCGUAGGUGGAAUGAUAAGUCAGUUGUGAAAGCUUGCGGCUCAACCGUAGAAUUGCAGUUGAAACUGGCAGUCUUGAGUGCAGGAGAGGAAAGUGGAAUUCGUAGUGUAGCGGUGAAAUGCGUAGAUAUCACGAGGAACACCAGUGGCGAAGGCGGCUCACUGGACUGUAACUGACGCUGAGGCUCGAAAGUGUGGGUAUCAAACAGGAUUAGAUACCCGAGUAGUC
rnacentral:rRNA from 1 species